GUUUUGGUAGCUUAAUUAUUAAAAGCGUCGGCCUUGUAAGUCGAAGACUGGAGGUGUAAACCCUCCCCAAACCA
rnacentral:tRNA from 1 species